AGAGAAUUUUCAUUAUUAAGUUUACACACAUAUUGUCUCUCUAAACCCAUUUUUUUAACAGUUUUUUCAUAGAAUCAAAACCAUAUGUCUCCCUCUCAUCCUCUCCUUCUCCUUUCCUCUCCCAUUCCCUUUAAUGCUUUCUUCUUAAUCUCAGAAUACGAAGAGCGUGAAAAGGGGAGACGGGUUUAGUCGAAGCAAUAGCAGGAAUACUCUUUGAUGCGUCAGUGUUAUUGUGUUACCAAGAGGGGUCGUCAUUGUAACCGUCAGCUUAGUCCUUACUCCUCUGACUCUGCCACUCCGGGAUCCGUUCGGUACAACCUAUCUUUGAUCUAGCUUUUCUUUUGUUGGUUUCUGUUUUCUAUUUGGUUAUAGUGUCAUAUUAUAUGAGAUCUAAAGCCCCUUUUAGUUAGCAAUUUUAAUUUCUGAGGUAGCAUUGCUGUAGUUGAGAGGGAUUCCAUGAAUAAUUUUUGGCUUCCUUAUUUGUUAAAGAAUGAUGGGUUUUGAGUGUAUUGGCUGUACUAUCAGUACAAUCCAUGACAGUACUUGGAGUCUGAGACACUUUUUUUGAGUAAGUAGAAAUUCAGAGAAACCAGACAUUAAUGGCAGACCAAGGUCCAAUUCCAUCUCCUACAGGAAAAAAAAUAGAAAACCCGAUUUCCAGAAAAUGAUUCUCACCCCUGUCAACCGGUUAUUUGUGAAUUUUGAAUCUUUAAUUGUAAACAAUUAUUUUUUUCCGGACGAUGAACAUAGUAUUCCACACAAUGAUGCACGAUAAGAACAAUAAAGCCUAUUUUCCCCAAAA